rnacentral:tRNA from 3 species
AAGAUUGUGAGCUAGGCUGGAAGUCUUGGAAAAUCGAGGUUAAUGUCACCUUCCCAAUGUGAAAGUCGUGGGUUCGAGUCCCAUCAGUU